UCAAAGUGUAGCUUAUAUAAAGCACCCGGUUUACACCCAGGAGAUUUCUACCUCACAGACCACUUUG
rnacentral:tRNA from 1 species